UGGCUAUAUCACAUUGAAACACUGUUUCCUGUACCAUCACCAAAGUUAAGCAACAUUGAGCCUGGUCAUUACCUAGAUGGGUGACCAUUUGGGAAUACUAGGUGCUGUAAG